rnacentral:rRNA from 1 species
GAUGAACGCUGGCGGCGUGCCUAAUACAUGCAAGUCGAGCGAACAGACGAGGAGCUUGCUCCUCUGACGUUAGCGGCGGACGGGUGAGUAACACGUGGAUAACCUACCUAUAAGACUGGGAUAACUUCGGGAAACCGGAGCUAAUACCGGAUAAUAUAUUGAACCGCAUGGUUCAAUAGUGAAAGACGGUUUUGCUGUCACUUAUAGAUGGAUCCGCGCCGCAUUAGCUAGUUGGUAAGGUAACGGCUUACCAAGGCAACGAUGCGUAGCCGACCUGAGAGGGUGAUCGGCCACACUGGACCUGAGACACGGUCCAGACUCCUACGGGAGGCAGCAGUAGGGAAUCUUCCGCAAUGGGCGAAAGCCUGACGGAGCAACGCCGCGUGAGUGAUGAAGCUCUUCGGAUCGUAAAACUCUGUUAUUAGGGAAGAACAAUUGUGUAAGUAACUAUGCACGUCUUGACGGUACCUAAUCAGAAAGCCACGGCUAACUACGUG